rnacentral:misc_RNA from 1 species
UCGAAUGAACGGAGCGCGCGGUUGCUGCUGGUCGCGAACGCGACAUCGUGCACGCCGCCGCUUCUCUUUCAUCCAUCCACCCCUUCUCGUGCACUUUGCGUAGACCGCGAGUCUCUCGCGGCCUAUGAUCUUUACACACGCCGUAACAUGUAAUCGAAUGCGUCGUUCGAGUUUAUGUCUCGAAUAUAAUCUAAUA